rnacentral:rRNA from 1 species
GAUGAACGCUGGCGGCGUGCCUAAUACAUGCAAGUCGAGCGAACAGACCAGGAGCUUGCUCCCCUGACGUUAGCGGCGGACGGGCGAGUACCACGUGGUUAACCUACCUAUAAGACUGGGAUAGCAUCGGCAAAACGGGGCUACUACCCGAUAAUUUAUUGAAUCGCAUGGUUCAAUAGUGAAAGUCGGUUUUGCUUUUAGUAAUAGAUGGAUCCGCGCCGCAUUAGGUACUUGGUAAGGUAACGGCUUACCAACGCAGCGAGGCGUAGCCGACCUGAGAGAGUGACCGGACACACUGGAAGUGAGGCACGGUCCAGACUCCUCAGGGGAGCAGCAGUACGGACUCUUCCGCAAUGGGGGAGAGCCGGACGGAGCACCGCCGCGGGAGUGAUGAAGUUCUUCGGAUCGUAGAGUUAUGUUGUUAGGGGAGAACAAAUGUGUAAGUAACUAUGCACAUCUUGACGGUACCUAAUCAGUAAGCCACGGCUAACUUCGUG